rnacentral:rRNA from 1 species
CCUACGGGAGGCUGCAGUGGGGAAUAUUGGACAAUGGGCGAAAGCCUGAUCCAGCCAUGCCGCGUGUGUGAAGAAGGCCUUCGGGUUGUAAAGCACUUUCAGUGGGGAAGAAAGCCUUGGGGCUAAUACCCUCGAGGAAGGACAUCACCCACAGAAGAAGCACCGGCUAACUCCGUGCCAGCAGCCGCGGUAAUACGGAGGGUGCGAGCGUUAAUCGGAAUUACUGGGCGUAAAGCGCGCGUAGGCGGUCUGAUAAGCCGGUUGUGAAAGCCCCGGGCUCAACCUGGGAACGGCAUCCGGAACUGUCAGGCUAGAGUGCAGGAGAGGAAGGUAGAAUUCCCGGUGUAGCGGUGAAAUGCGUAGAGAUCGGGAGGAAUACCAGUGCGAAGGCGGCCUUCUGGACUGACACUGACGCUGAGGUGCGAAAGCGUGGGUAGCAAACAGGAUUAGAUACCCGUGUAGUC